UACAGAGGUCUCAAGCGUUGUUCGGAUUCAUUGGGCGUAAAGGGUGCGUAGGCGGGUCUUUAAGUCAGGGGUGAAAUCCUGGAGCUCAACUCCAGAACUGCCCUUGAUACUGAAGGUCUUGAGUUCGGGAGAGGUGAGUGGAACUGCGAGUGUAGAGGUGAAAUUCGUAGAUAUUCGCAAGAACACCAGUGGCGAAGGCGGCUCACUGGCCCGAUACUGACGCUGAUGCACGAAAGCGUGGGGAGCGAACAGG
rnacentral:rRNA from 1 species